GUUGAGGAGGGCGAAGGCAGCGGCGUGUCGCCCUAAGGGCCGGGUGCGGGCGGCGGGGAGGGUCGGCGUUGGCUGUCGCGGAAAUGGCGGAGCUCGGGGGUGCGAGCAGAAGCGCCCGCCAGAAAGAGCCAGGAAAAGUAGUGGCCUUAAAGAAGAUGGAGUUCUUUUGCUUAUCUGAAGAAAUUAUGGUAUCAUCAUCUGGCUGGCAGACUUUCUUCCUCAAUUUCUGGCUGUACCAUCAGUAAGGAGGAUGCAAGUGAGGAGAAGAAAGCCAAAGGAUGAAAACUUAAGGCUAUCUUGGAUCACCUAAAUGCGGUGAAAUCACUGGUAUGACAUGUGGAGCCCAAGAACCAUGUUUGUUGAAUGACUGAGCUUCCAUCUGCCUCAGAAUUCCUUUUUUCUCAUGGAAAGUUCUGUUUUCAUUCAUACCCUCAGGAAAAGACCCUUAUUAUUAGGAGGAGGGCCUACAGAACCAUAGACAAUUUUACUGAUGAUUCAUGAGACAUCAUUGUAGCAGAUUUGCCAUACUUACUAAAGCACUUCACUAUAUGAGGAGUUCUCAAUCAAAUACCUGGAUAAAAGAAAACACAGAGGUUCAGUAAGUCUUCACUCUUCAGUGAUAGUCACUGUAAGCAUUCACUCUGGAUGCACCUUGGUUAUGCAUAAAGACAGAGUACAUCAUAGUGGGAAAUUUAAGAUGGAAAUUAAUGGAUUCUGUGCUUUAUCAUUCUGGAAGCCUCAGAUCCAAGAUGUCUUGAAUUUGACAGGUAAAUCCACAGGGCAGUUUCAAGUUUUAGCUGUAAUUGCAGAUAUUGAUCAAUCCCAUUCAUUGCUGCAGAACUAAUUACUGUAGAGAAAUGAAGUCUGUUUCUCUUUGAAAUCCAGAGAAGACUCCUUAAAGCUGAUAAACUCAAAUCUCAAUCUUAGAUCAAGUGAUUUAAAACAGAUUUUGUUUAUCAAGAUGGUUUUAUUAUUUUUUUCAAACCUCUGGGCUUGUAAAGGCUAUCAAAAAUAGAAAUUUCUUAAAUUUCAAAUGACUAGGACCAACACAGAAUAAUAUUCAUAUCAAUUGCGAUGACACUUUUAAUUUCUCCUGGAAGAAAUACUUCUAGGAAUAAGCAGUAAUUAAGUUUCUGUUCCUGUUUGUUCCUGUGCUGUUUUUAUAGACUUCGAUGACAGUGCUUCUUAGUAUGGUCCUUAACUGGGGAAGUGACAUUGAGCAGUUCAUCAGAACAGAACACCCAGUUGCUGCUUCAGCCUUGAAGGAGAUGGAUGCUAUACAAAUGUUCAUUUGCAAGGGCUAGUGACUUAACACAGAUUAAAAUGUACCUUAAGUUACAUUCUUAAAAUUUCACCAUCAUCACCACACUCCAUAAAAGCAAUUAAAGACUGCAUCCAACUCCCACUAUGUUAGAAGAAACAAUGUAUCUUAAGAGUUGGCAACUGAUAUGUCUAUUUGCGUAUUUGUUAACCUGGGCACAGGAGGCUUUCAUUUUGUUUAACAGCAGUAAUUCUUGGGUGUUCAUAUAAGUUUGUUUAGACCUUUGGUAGACUCACUACCAAAGUGAAUUUAAUCACUAGAAUAAAUCUGAGGCAUUACAGAGCCAGAAUUGUUAGAGGAGCUAUUUCAAAGAAACACCAGGAAAAUAUGCUUUGCUUCUCUGAAGCUCUUUGAUAAAUAUGCGUAGGUAUAAGCUGACAAGUUUGCUGAUUUUGUUUAGUUACACGUGCUUUCUGUUGUAGUCAUCGUUUGAUUUUUGGGGUGUCUCAUAAUUACAACUAUGACAUUCAUUUCACUUUCAUAUGAUUCUGAAAGGUAUGCUGUGAACUUUGAAAGACUUUAUGAAGCAAUUUCACUUCUUCAAAGGACUAACGAUAACUUUAGUCUUAGUAUUUGUGAUUUUAACAUAAUUUUUCACUUUGGAGACUAAAUAAUCUAUGCCUUCCAUAUUCAUUUUGUAUCAUAAGAUGUACUGCUCUUUUUGGAUUGUGUAGUAGCUCACAUACUGCUAUGCUUUUAGUAAGUAUUCAAAAAAGCUAGUGGAAACCAUGACUUCUGAAGAAAGCAACAGUCGAUACAAAUGAACUGGCAUUAAUGGACCAUUUUGAGUGCUGUGAAAGAAACCCCACUGAAAAUCAAUGAGGAAGCACAAUCCUUUUAAUAGGUAAGUGAACUUAGAGCCUUACAGUUGAACAAUCCUACAAUUCAGUGAUGCUGAAAUCUAGAUCCAAUUUUGUAGCUUGAUCUGUAGCUAAAACUGCUUUCAUCUGCUUCCUGGAGUUUCUUUUUGUUUAAUCAAAAAAUUCAUAUUUUUAAUUGCAAAACAGGAACAGUGUAAUAGCUCUGUGUGGCUAUGCUCACCUGCUGCAUCAGGUCUCCUAAGAAAGGAAGCAAAAAGAGACCUGGUAGGAAUGUCUAAAUGAAGCAAACUUCUCCAUGUUUCAUUUGCUUCUAUUUUAUGGGUUCUUAGAGUGAAUUACAAAAUGGGUGAUGAAAAAUAGGGUAGCUGGAUUCUGAGGGGAUAAGACAUUCUCUGGAAAUUAUUAAACUUCUGUAAUGAAAGUGGGAAAAUGAGAUUUUUCUGCAGACAUGAUUUAAUUGCCACUUAAUUCAGGCUAGUUUAUGAACCUAGUACACUUUACAUCUUUGAAUAGAAUGAUGUGAGCCAAUGAUCUUGAUAAAUCUUGGAAGGAGGUGGAGGAGCGAUGACAGAGUAGCAAUGUGUAUAAUAUAUCCUACAAUAAUUUUAAUUUUCAUGUAGAACAACCUGAACCUUCUCAGUUACAUAUCCUAGUCUCAUCGUAUAAUAGAUCUUUCUGAAAUUUUUCUUAUUAAAAAAACAAAGGAAAACAAACUUGUGUAUCAGUUGAUCAUGCUGGUUGUGAGGUUUUAUUCAGUUUGUGGUGAGAUUGGGGAGCACUCAAAUAUACAAGGUUUGCUGGGCUGAAGCUCACAUCCGAAAGAGCUUUUUGUAGGGGAAGGCAAAACUGCAGUAUUUCUGGAAACUCUAAUCUGGCUUUGCUUCUAGCUCUGGUUCUUUAUCAGUUGAAAAACUGCAAUGUAAGUAGCCAUGCUUUAUACAAAACCAGAAAGCCCUAACAUGACAUUUUUACAUGACAGAGUUGUGGCAAGAGCUAUAGAAUUUAAGUCGUGAGACAGAAGGAUAAGUUAUAACUGUAGUGUAGCUGGAUAUCAGGGCUGUGCUUGUGAGCACACCUGGUGCCAUUAAUUCUAGAGGUAGUCCAGGAACUCCUAAACUAGUCACCUGCAUAAUGAGAUAAUGAACCAUAUUGAGACGAUGGACAGACUUGAAAUGGGGUGACUGAACUCCUACCCACCUUCACCAUUAAUUGUCUGACUAAUUGGUGCAGCAACUCUCCAGGUGAGAGUUUUGUAUAGUCCUGAAGAUUUUCCCCAGACAACUUUUGCUGUGCCUGCACCAAUUUGUAUGCUUAACUGUGUUGAUUAACAUCCUGGUUGGACAGUCUGUCCCUUCCAGAGACUCUUUCAGGCAGGUCCUGCUGCAGAAUUGACCCAUUUGUAAUUAGGUAAGAGACCUGUAAAUAGAAGAAUCUCUUCUUGCAGAUACAAAAAUGGUCUUUUGUACAUAGUGUAGAUAGGAGAUGUUUGAAAAGAGUUUAUGAUAAUCAAUAGCAAUGGCUGAUGCAUGUACAGGAGUGGUAAUGUAGGACUAUGGGUCUGCUGGGUGUAAGAAUUCAGCAGAACAACGGUUUGGGAAAUCUCUGACCCAGGUGAAGAUGCUGUUGCAAAGGCCUUGCAACAGAAAUUCCUGUUGCCACUCAGACAACGAUCAACCAUGGUGUUUUAGAGAUUUGAUUUCCCUCUGUUAGCAUUACCAUGUGGCAAGAUCCCGAUACAUUAGUGUUUUUUGUGGGGUUCCCCCCCCCCCCCCAACAAACUGUCUGUGCCUGUGCAGCAAGGUGGAAGCAUAGGAUUAAACUGAGAACCAUGUAACAGGUUAAACAUUCUUUCUGCAGUACACUUUGCUUCAACCUACUAUGGAAACAGACUGCUGACUAGCCCCAAAGAUUUUGCCUAUCUGUCUCAUGUGUGUACUACAGUGCAGGUUAUGUGGCAAUAUCUGAAAGUGCAGUAUAUCAUAAAACAGGAGGGAGCAACUUACAGAGAACUGCUCACUGCUUUUGGUGUUUUAAUCACAACCUUCCUAGGAGUUUUGCAUGCUGUCGUCAGGCCAAAACAUCAGGAACUUGCCAACACUGUAGGAAUUAACAUGUUGCAAAAAGACUCAAGGAGUGUCUGAAGUUCUAACAUUAGUAAUGUUUGAGAAAAACCUUCUGCAAACACUGCAGGAUGCUGCAAAUUGCAUCACUGGAAUCUGUUUUAUUUAAUUUUCGUUGACAGUACUAUCUGCUGCUCUGCAGUUACUUCUCAGAUCCUGUCUUUGUAUGCUACACAAAGGAAAGCGUAUGUUUUUGUUUUAUUGCCUUUACUGUGCCAGCACACAUACAGAAUAAGAAUGACUAAUGUUUUGUGAGAUUUCUUAUCUUUCAGGAUAUGAUUUCUUUAACAGCCAUUCUUACCCUUCUCCCUACAUAUUUUUUGUGCUGAAUACAAUUCAUCAUUUCAAAUCUUCACUGCCAUUCUUUCCACAUUUUCUACUUUGUUUCUGGCUUAAGAGACAAUAAAGUUUUCUUAAUGAUCAUUGUUCUUUGGCAGAAGGGGAAAAAAGAGCUUGAAUUAUUGCUGAACUGUUUUUAUCUCAGUAGAUAUUAACAAAUCUUUAAUAUAAAACUACAUUUUGUUUUAUGAAGUAAUCAUUAAUGAAAACAUUGGGCCUCUCUCCAACCUCUCAAAAAGGGGCAACAUGCGUGAGUAGAGCACUGAGAAGAUCACAGUCUUGCCCAAGAAGGACCAUACAUGGAAAUAAGAGAAUCCUCAUAAGGAUGCUAGCUCCAGUGGCUCUAUUUUGCUAAUGAUAAAAAGGUGAAAAUAACUUGGUUUGCAAAGACAUUCAGGAUGCAUUGCCAGUCAUGAUGUCAGGUAAGUCACAGAGGUAGCUUACAUCACGGAGGAGUUGAAACUUUCUGCUAAUGCUGUCAUACAGAAUAUUUCUUAUAUUCACUUCAGCAAGUGAAGUCACAAUAGGCUCUCUAAUUUUUUCUCCAUGCUUCCUUCCUGAAUAUCAUAAUGAACUAUGUUGAUGGACAAGAAUCAAAAUUAUGGGUUACUGUUUUGAUGACCAUAAUUGCUAGCUGUAACAGACAUAACCGGUCCAUCGGUAUGUUAUCUCACUUGCUUUGUAAUGCUUUUACUUAUCUAAAGCCCAGCUAUGUUAAGGAGUUGCAAAAGAUAGCCCUCAGAUAUUGUGUAUUAGUUUAAAUUCCGAUACUUUCUACAUACCAGAAGUACACACAGAAGUAUUGACAUGCCAACUGUUAAACAUAAUCACCAGUAAUAUGGUAGCGGUAUUAUAUUUGGCGCCUAGAGUAUAAUGUAUCUGCGGAACAAAAAUUACCAUCUAAAUGACUAAAACUCCCACAGAGAUAAUGUAACAUUUAUUAAGUAACUGACAACCUGAUUGCAAAGACUGAUACGACUGUAGCUCCAGGUUUGUCAAUUUAAAAUAAAAAUAAUAAAUAAAAGAUCAUACAUGAACAUAAGCCUUACCCAUAAGCAGUUAUUGGUCAAAAUUGAAAAUAAGACAAUGAAGGGAAUGGAGUCAUAGACACCUGAAAAUGAGGUCUUAGAAGCAAAUAAUCAUGUGGUUAUAGAAACUACAGGAGUUGCUCUGUUGUACCACGAAAGGAGUUGAAACAUUAAGUCUGUGGGAUAUUUAUGCAUGAAUUUAUUCUGAGGCAUAAGUAUGUCUACAUUCUGAGAAAUCAAAUGCUCAUCCAAAGAAAGACAUCAAAAACAUAAUACAAGUCCUUUCUAAAGAAAUGGUGUAACAAACACCCCUUCAGGAUAAUUUACACAAGGGCAACUGGAGCCCUAUCUGCCUGAGGGUCCUCAGAUUCCAGUGCUGUAAGUCUUUUCCAAUUUGGCAUACCAGCAGGGCACUGCUGAGUUGAGCUGCCUGUGUGCAGUGAAUUACUGAUUUCACUUCCUUCUUACACUGCACAAGCAGCACUGUGAAAUACAAGAAAUUGAAUAUAAUUCCUUUAUGUGUUUCAAACCUGUGCAAUUGUUUAACACAUUGCAAUCAUAAAUUGCUACUUUUGAGGAAUAGAUUCUGAGGGGAGUAACAGCACACCUUUGAAAGGAAAAUGAAUUAAUAAAGUAUUCAUAGCUUCUCCCUUUAUAGCCGCAGUGCAGUGAAACAUAAUUCUCCAUGGUGUGACACAGAUGUGUAUUUUUCGUAAUGAUAACAGUCAAUCUUUGCUGAGGUAAAAGGUUAUGUUUGAAAUACUGAUCAACUUUCUUAACAAGCGGUCUGAUUAUUUCUUUAUUCACUUAAAAACAUCUUGCUUUAAGAGGCAGGACUUUGAAGCAAUAGUUACAGGAUAACACAGCAUAUUAGUAUUCUUUGUGAAGGAUUUUAGAGAAAGAUAUUUGAUAAAGUAAAAAUUAAUCAUCUAAAUGCUGCCAGUAUCAAUAACCUCUGACUGAAGAAUUAUGUGCGAUUUUGGAUCAAGGAAAUUAAUGAUGAAAUGAGGUGAUCUUGACUUGUGUUGGAUUAGGCAGAUUGAAGAUCCACAAGAAUAAAUAUCAGAUUCUCACAAUUUACAAACUGUAUUGCCAAUUAGAUUGAGUAAAUUGUGCGCUAGCUCAAGAACAGCCAACUCAGCUUUACAUUUAAGGAUCAUCAAAAUAAACCAAAAAAAAACCCAAACCUUGUCUCACUCAGUUUUAGUAUCUUAGGCAUCCAAUAUCUGUUAUAAGGAGAUUCAUAAAAUGAUGACUAAUCCAAGGAGUAUUCAUGAAUCAACAUAUCUAGUAAAGUGUAAUUCACAUCCAGGCUCACUACUUCCAGGAGGAGAUGCUGUCAUUGUGUUUAAUUUUCUGUUUGGAAAAAUUAGAUCAUAUUGCAAUACAAUGGAGUUGAAACUGAAAACAAACAACGAAUCAGUCUUGUGUUAUGUCAGACAUUGCAUAAAUGUCAGGAAGAGACAAGAAAAGAAAAGCUUAUUUUUGUUGGUAAAGAACAGGUAGGAAAGAUAUGUCCAGGAAUAAAUUUAAGCUGAAUAUUGCUUCUUAAGUAUCAGAGAAGUUGGGAAGUAGAAUUACCUUUAAGGAGGAUGAGUAAGAGCAAAAAAUAAUUAGCUUAAAAUGAAACCUUAUCACUAUAUGAAGGAAUUAUAUGAUAUAGUCACCUACAGCAAUAAAGCACUGUAUUUAGUGAUCCAGGAAAUCCUUUUAGUCCCUAUGUGAUGAUUAUGCAAAAAUUGCUCCUCAACCAAGAAUUAACAAAUGAGAUGAUGUUUUGCCAGACCUCUGAGGAGACAAAGUUUAUUUUAGAUAUAUGCAGUGCUUUUCCAUCCUGUUAUUAUAAUUUUUAGAAGUAUUAAAUCAUUUGGGUAUUUGUAAGUUUUGUUGGUACACUUUACAUUCUUAUGGUGAAUUGUGUAACUUGCAUAAUGUGGAGCUCAAAACCAAGUGGUUACUGCUUUGACUAGUGGUACAGAUCCCACUCUUCCCUACCCCCAAGGAAUUUAGUAUAGCAGCUAAGGCAGAUGCCUUGAAGGCAGCUGCUGUUUCAGAUCAAGAGUGUAAGACUUUAAGAACUGGAUGCAAGAUUCUAGUGGGAAAGGGUGGAAUUAUAUUAUAUAUAAUACAGGGAGAACGUCUGAAGUUGAUUCCUUUGUUUACUCCAUCAUGAAAGAUGCUCUUUAAUUUUAAGGAAAGAGAGGAAAUAAAAAAACCUACUAGCUGUACCAAUUAUCACUAUAUGCAGGAAUUAUAAGCCAUAUAAACUUGGAGAAAAUUUGAGGAAACCAUGAGAUUUGGACUAUAGCUACUCGGGUUUUUUUGUUGUUGUUCAGUAUUUAUUAUUUCAGCUGUAAGUAGUGAAGGGGUCCAGAUACUACUUACUAUUUGCUUUAUUUCAGUGGUGCUACUAAGAAUUGUUCUACUUCUCCCAAAUGAUAUAAAUAUACCUGGCAUUCAAAAAAAGCUGUUUCUGUUCUUGACACAUGACCUUUCCUAAGGCUUUUCUUUUUUUUUUUUUUU